UAUAAACCUAUGACGGGAAAUAGUAGUUAUGUAUUUAUAUAAAGAGAGCCGGCGGGCGGUGAAAGCCGGUUAUAUAGCAUAGUGAAUCCAUCCCGGAGGGAUUGCGACCAAUUAAGCAAUAUCGUCAGUGCACGUUACAGCACAUAAAGAGGAUGGCUAUCAAUAGUGUAAAUAUUAUUAAUAGCUUAUCAAUUAGGGUGGCAACACGGAAAUAUUAGCCUUUCGUCCCUUGA
rnacentral:ncRNA from 1 species